rnacentral:rRNA from 1 species
GUAGGAGGCAAGCGUUAUCCGGAUUUACUGGGCGUAAAGCGCAUGCAGGCUGUUCUUAAGUCGGGACGUGAAAGCUCCUGGCUCAACUAGGAGAGGUCGUUCGAAACUAGGGAACUUGAGGAUGGUAGAGGAGAGUGGAAUUCCCGGUGUAGUGGUGAAAUGCGUAGAUAUCGGGAGGAACACCAGUGGCGAAGGCGGCUCUCUGGGCCAUUCCUGACGCUAAGAUGCGAAAGCUAGGGGAGAGAACGGGAUUAGAAACCCCGGUAUUCCUAGCCGUAAACGAUGUCAACUAGGUGUAGGGGGUAUCCAACCCCUCUGUGCUGUAGCUAACGCGUUAAGUUGACCGCCUGGGGACUACGGCCGCAAGGCUA